AGAACGAACGCUGGGCGGCGUGGAUAAGACAUGCAAGUCGAACGAGAAAGUGGGAGCAAUCCCAUGAGUAAAGUGGCGCACGGGUGAGUAACACGUGACUAACCUACCCUUGAGUGGGGGAUAACCUAGGGAAACCUGGGCUAAUACCGCAUAAUACCUACGGGUCAAAGGAGCAAUUCGCUUUAGGAGGGGGUCGCGGCAGAUUAGUUAGUUGGCGGGGUAAUGGGCCCACCAAGACAGUGAUCUGUA
rnacentral:rRNA from 1 species